CUUGAUCGAGCCGAGCCACAGUGGCUGGUCGGCGGGGCGCUCCUGGCCAUAGGUGGCGAGCAGUGCCUGCGCCUC
rnacentral:antisense_RNA from 1 species